AUGCCAAUGUUUUGCAACCAAAAUCCAGUAGCGCGGUCUAAAACCCAGCGUUACGGCCCCAAAUCCCAACGUUCUGCCCUAAAAUUCAGUAUCGUGGCCCCAAAUCCCAAUAUUCUGCCCCAAAAUGCAGUAUUAUGGUCUAAAAACCAACGUUAUGGCCCGAAAUCCCAACGUUCUGCCCCAGAAUCCAGUUUUAUGUCCCCAAAUCCCAACGUUCUGCCCCAAAAUCCAGUAUUAUGGCCCAAAAUCCCAACGUUCUGCCCCAAAAUUCAGUAUCGUGGCCCCAAAUCCCAACGUUCUGCCCCAAAAUCCAGUAUCAUGGCCCAAAAUCCCAACGUUCUGCCCCAAAAUUCAGUAUUGUGGCCCCAAAUCCCAACGUUCUGCCCCCCAAAUGCAGUAUUAUGGUCUAAAAAACAAUGUUAUGGCCCCAAAUCCCAACGUUCUGCCCCAAAAUUCAGUAUUAUGGCCCGAAAUCCCAACGUUCUGCCCCAAAAUCCAGUAUCGUGGCCCCAAAUCCCAACGUUCUGCCCCCAAAUGCAGUAUUAUGGUCUAAAAACCAACGUUAUGGCCCGAAAUCCCAACGUUCUGCCCCAAAAUCCAGUAUCGUGGCCCCAAAUCCCAACGUUCUGCCCCAAAAUUCAGUAUUAUGGCCCCAAAUCCCAACGUUCUGCCCCAAAAUCCAGUAUUAUGGCCCGAAAUCCCAACGUUCUGCCCCAAAAUCCAGUAUUAUGGCCCGAAAUCCCAAUAUUCUGCCCCAAAAUCCAGUAUUAUGGCCCCAAAUCCCAACGUUCUGCCCCCCAAAUGCAGUAUUAUGGUCUAAAAACCAAUGUUAUGGCCCGAAAUCCCAACGUUCUGCCCCAAAAUUCAGUAUUAUGGCCCCAAAUCCCAAUGUUUUGCAACCAAAAUGCAGUAUUAUGGUCUAAAAACCAACAUUAUGGCCCAAAAUCCCAACGUUCUGCCCCAAAAUUCAGUAUCGUGGCCCCAAAUCCCAACGUUCUGCCCCAAAAUUGA
rnacentral:lncRNA from 1 species